GACCUCUCUCCUUGAAGACAAAGUGUUGAUAUCAACUCCACCUUCAAGUCUCUCAAGCAGAACUAGAUGCUGUUUCUUCAAUGUUUCCACAUCUUCUUGUUCACAUGUGUCUAAGACACUUGCGUACUACAUUGUAAGCCAUUUUUACUAUGAAGAAGAUUGUAAGCUCAAUUACGGGCUUUACUGCGCUGAUAACGAACACAGAUAUGAGACAAGCAGACUUGAGCUCCUGCCUCGAGGAUGGUGAGCAAAGAGCCUAAGCAAAACUGAGAGGAAAUGAAACACAAAGAGGAAACAGAAAGGUGAGAAAAUAGAGGGUGGGAGGGCAGGCAAGUGAUUCAUGGGGCCACCAUAAAAGGGAUAUGUUAAGUGACCAAAGCAAAACCUCUAGAAAGGGCUCAAAUACAUAAGAUAGAGAUCACAUGGGGCUGUUCUGUCAAAUAUAGGGUGAGUGAUGGGAAAGAAAAUAACUUGUUAAGGGAAGUUUCUAAACUGAGAAAAUUUUGUGAGGUUUGAAUAUCUGUGAGACCAGUUUCGAUCUAGAACCAAGAAGUAGAUCCAAGACCUCCACAAAAUGUAUGUCUCUUCCCUGAGGAGAAUGGGUUAAAAUAGCCCAGACUAGGUACAGAAAUAAGGAGAAAAUAGCAGUCCUGGAAGACCUAAUUGGCCUAUU
rnacentral:lncRNA from 10 species